AGUGAACGCUGGCGGCGUGCUUAACACAUGCAAGUCGAACGAGAACGGAUUAUAGCUUGCUAUAAUUGUCAGCUAAGUGGCGCACGGGUGAGUAAUGUAUAGGUAAUAUGCCUCUUACUAAGGGAUAACAAUUGGAAACGAUUGCUAAUACCUUAUACUCCUUGUUAACUUAAGUUAAUAAGGGAAAGAUUUAUUGGUAAGAGAUUAGCCUGUAUUGUAUCAGUUAGUUGGUGGGGUAAUGGCCUACCAAGACUAUGACACAUAACUGGUUUGAGAGGAUGAUCAGUCACACUGGAACUGAGACACGGUCCAGACUCCUACGGGAGGCAGCAGUGGGGAAUAUUGGACAAUGGGCGAAAGCCUGAUCCAGCAAUGCCGCGUGAGUGAUGAAGGCCUUAGGGUUGUAAAGCUCUUUUACCAGGGAUGAUAAUGACAGUACCUGGAGAAUAAGUUCCGGCUAACUACGUG
rnacentral:rRNA from 1 species